UGCCAGACUCCUACGGGAGGCAGCAGUGGGGGAUAUUGCACAAUGGGGGAAACCCUGAUGCAGCGACGCCGCGUGGGCGAAGAAGUAUUUCGGUAUGUAAAGCCCUAUCAGCGGGGAAGAAAAUGACGGUACCUGACUAAGAAGCCCCGGCUAACUACGUGCCAGCAGCCGCGGUAAUACGUAGGGGGCAAGCGUUAUCCGGAUUUACUGAGUGUAAAGGGAGCGUAGACGGCGGCGCAAGUCCGGAGUGAAAGCCCACGGCCCAACCGUGGGACUGCUCUGGAAACUGUGCGGCUUGAGUGCGGGAGGGGCAGGCGGAAUUCCUAGUGUAGCGGUGAAAUGCGUAGAUAUUAGGAGGAACACCGGCGGCGAAGGCGGCCUGCUGGACCGUAACUGACGUUGAGGCUCGAAAGCGUGGGGAGCAAACAGGAUUAGAUACCCGGGUAU
rnacentral:rRNA from 1 species